GUGAAACUGUGGUUCAGAACAAGCCCUUUGGAUGGCAAGAAAAUUGCUGAGUAGCUGGUUUCCAGGUUGCCGAGGUCCUAGCCAGGGCCUGGCGCGGCUGCCAGAAGCAACAGGCUUGGAAUUUCCUCUGCCUGGUGCCAGCUCUGCUCGGGCUGCCGCAGCACCUCUGUGGGGCCGGGGCUCCUCGCGGGCCCUGCGGACGGGGUUACGCUCGGAGCUGAGCGCUGCCCCCUCGUCCUCGGUGCCUGGUUUCUAUUUUCUUUUCCAGGGUCCAAGCUGUUUUGAAUUAUGCAGCCUGCGCCUCCCGCGGGGCUCCUUGAGCAGCCGCCUAAUGAGCUGAGCUCCUGACAAACUUUGCUCUGGCUCUGGCUAUGCUUGGAAAAUUUUACAGCCUUUUCAGAAAAAGGAAAUGCCAGGAAAGGCCUGUCUCUUCUUAUUUUUAUGAGGGGGUCCCGGUUGAGAGAGGACCGAGAUGGGCUUGGAAGAGAAGACAGGAAUGGUUUUGAAUACUGUGCUGGGCGCUCCCCCUCCCCGCCACACGCUUUCUAGUGAUGGGUGUGAGGCUGGUGUGGUCCUUCCUUCCCCAGCACGGCUGUGCACAGCGUGGGGUGAGACCUGCAGGCUGCACUGUGAGCACAGGGAGGUGGCAAAGAGGUGGCAAGCGUGAAUGGUGAUGGAUGGAGGCCAACUCUCCUCGCCCCACUGCUGGCUGCCUGCUCCCAGCGCUGUUCCCAUCCCCAGGCUCGACAGCAGAACCUGGCACCGAGUGCCAAUUUCUGCUCUUCCGGCUCUGGUUAAAGGAUUCUGCUGGUGGAAAGCGUGUGGGGACCAGAUCUGAGGCACUGUCACCUGGGAGGGCCAAGGCAUCCGAGCUGGCAUGCCAGCAUCUAUCAGUGCCCCAUCUGCAAGGAAGUGCUGGGCUGCAUCUUUCCUCCCAGCUGCUGGCGCAGUUACCGGCCGUUUAAUAUUUGCUAAUUGUAUUUUUCUGAAUGUCACUGUCUGUUUCUGCUGUGGGAGCAGGCAGAGGCUCCUCCUGCACAGGGAUGUGCUGCACGUCAGUGCACGAGGCCGUGCAGGAAGGGCAGCAGCACGGUGACGUCUGAGCAGGACCCAGAGGAACAGGGAAGCGGGAGUGAAGGUGCUGCUAGCUCCUGUAAUCUGCAAGGGAUGGCCCUGCUGAAUUCACCCCCUUUUGGCUGAGGAACUGCAUUACAGUGAGAGAAACUGGGGCACAACACAAGCUGUGACUUUGCCCACCCCCAUCAUAACCCUCUUCUUACGAUCAGCAGAACCCUGUGGCCAAAGCAUAGGGCCAGUGUGAAUCCCGUGGUCUGGAAUCUUGGCCAAGGCGUUCUGUGUGCUUCUGUGUUGGUGAGGCAGGGGCUCGCCCUCCUCUCAGCCACGGGGCUCACGGGCAGAAGUGGAGAUUGUAUGUGACAAUAGAGGCCAAGCUCCUUUGCUUUGCUGCUCAGAGAGAUGCUGAAGAGCUCCGGUCCCAGGAUGGACCCCUGGGGGACACCCCUCAUCACCGGCCUCCACCUGGACAUGGAGCCAUUGACAACAGCCCUCUGGCUGCGACCAUCCAACCAAUUCCUUAUCCA